rnacentral:sRNA from 1 species
UACAGUCCUUUAAAGGUUGAGGCCAGUAU